UACGUAGGGGGCAAGCGUUAUCCGGAUUUACUGGGUGUAAAGGGAGCGUAGACGGCGCGGCAAGUCUGAAGUGAAAGGCAGGGGCUUAACCCCUGAACUGCUUUGGAAACUGCCAUGCUAGAGUGCUGGAGAGGUAAGUGGAAUUCCUAGUGUAGCGGUGAAAUGCGUAGAUAUUAGGAGGAACACCAGUGGCGAAGGCAGCUUACUGGACAGUAACUGACGUUGAGGCUCGAAAGCGUGGGGAGCAAACAGG
rnacentral:rRNA from 1 species